AAAGUUACGUGCAUCUCUAAGCUUUAGCAAAACUUCUGAUGCAGGGGGCUAAGGAAUCUCAUAUUGACCAUUUUUUUCAUGGGUAAGUAACUUCAAGUCCGGUUCCUCAUCCUUAAUGACCUUAAUGAUUUCUGGAGCCAUUUGGACUUUUGUAGCUGAUAAACAAUUUAUUUUUUAGAGACAAACAAAAAUAAGAAGCUUCCUUUAAAUAAGUUUGAAUAAGAUUUGGUGAGACUUAUUUUUGUUUUGUGCUAUUUGCUCUAACUCAAUCAGUUCGUUUUGUGUUUCUCGUGGUCUUUUACAUUAGAAAAAAAAAAAAUCAAUUUGAUCUUAAAUUUCUUUUGUUAAGUGGAAAGAAAACUUAAUCUAUAAGUACUCAAGUACAACAAAUUAAAAAGUACACUUUAUGGUGACAAUGGUGUGGUUGAAGAUUUUAUACUUAUCAAUUGUGUGGCUGGGUUAGAUUGUCACUCUAGUGAGAAUAUGUAUGUUGUUGCAUCUCCUUCUUUCAAACACAAACAAUUCUAAUGCAUUCAUCCAAUUGUAUGUUGUGUUAAUAUUUUUGUUUCUUUGAUCAAUUGUUGUGAAUGCUUUUUGUGUGAUUUUUGUUUUAUGCUUAGUUUUAGUUUUUGGAUCUCUAGUCUCUUCAAUAGAAGAACAACAUACUAAAUACUAAUUCUCUAUCUAAGGAGUAAGGAUGUUGGUUCACAAGAUGGGAUUGAGUUUCAUAAUUUGUAAUAUAGUGGAAGUAUUAAGUAGUUGUCUUCUUGUAGUUUAUGUUCAUGAAUUGUGUUUUUUAGAGUUUACUUUAGUAAGUUGUGAUUCUUUGCUUUCUCAAAUUAGUUUGAUACAUUGUGAAAUUUGAAGACUUGUCAAGAUGGUUAACUCUCCUCUCUUAUCAAGAUAAUUUUUAAAACUUUGUUAAAGGUAAGAAUAUCUUCCCAUAACAGUAAUGUUCUUUCAUUUUGUCUUUUUUUCUAUUUAAUUCAAUUGCUGAUUUUUCAUUUUCCUAUUGUACUAAUUCAUGACAUUAUGGAGUAAGCGUAACGAGCAUCUCUUUAGAGUCUGUUUCUCUUCAUUUAAAUCUUUUUCUUGGUUUGGUUUUGUCGACAACUUUUUAUUGGUGCAAAACUGGGCACCCUUUUAAGAAUUUUAGUCUUCCUUUUCUAGUAUCCAAUUAGAAAUCUCUUGUGUAAUCAACUUUAGGUGCAUGGAGUCUCCCCUUAUUUUAUUUAUUUAAUGAAUAAUGUUUCUUAUCUAAUUUUUUUUUUCUGUCAUCUCAUCUAAGAAGCAGAUUGUUUCAGACAUUUAUUUGCUUCAUCUCAUAUGCUUUUGUUCUUUUGUUUCUAACUGUUACUUUUGCAAUAACCAUACAACUGGCGUUCCAAACCUUGUAGUUGUAGAGAUUGUGGAUGAUGAAAAGGUACUCUUUCUAUUAUUUUUCUUGGUAAAGGUACUCUUCUAGUCUUCUUAUUAGUUAUUUGAAAUUCUUUGAUUUGAAACUCAUCUUCACAUCAAAGUUAAGUUGGAAGUUCUUAAAAUCACUUUCCAAUAUUUUAACUCAAUUGUGUGUUGAUUAUUUCUCUUUUCUUAGGUUUAGAAUUUGGUUUUUAGCAUGCAGUUGGAGGACUGUCAUUGAGUGGUAAUUGAACUUGUGAUUUUUCUUUAUUAACUGAAAUAACUAACGUGGGGACCAUUAUUCUCAAGAAGUCCUGUAUCUGUAAAGUCCUGUAUCUGUGUUUUUAUUGAUGAUGAUUUUCCAUCAAUUUUGGAUUCAAGCCUGCCUUCUCUUGUUUUUUAUCAUUUUUAUCGAAAAAAAAUUAUUCAAAUGAUUAACUUUUCUAUUUUAUGCUGUACACUAUAACUUUCUGUUAUAUUUGGUUUAAAUCUUCUCUCAGAUUGCUAACCGUUUGGAUUAGAUCGUUGAAAGUAUUGGGAGGAAGCCUCUUAAGGUGUUUAUCUAAGUGAAUACAAUUGGAGAAGAAUGUAUCAACUAUUCAAUCUUGCUCACAGGGUAUCAACAAAGUUGUCGAGUCUUUGCAACUUAUAUUGCCCAAUGUACGAAAGUCUCAUUUGCGAAAUUAAGUUCAGGAAGUAUAUGGUUUUGUAGAAAAUCAAUGGUAGGUUGGUGAACUAGCUCUAAAUCUAUACUUUUGUCGUUUCGCUUUCGAGUAAGACAGUUUUGGAACCAAGUUUUGAUAAUCCUCUUGUUUUGUUCAUUCAAAUUCAUACAUGGGGGGAGCAAAUUGUUCUAGAGUAGAAGUUUUUUAGUUGCUUGUUCGUGUCCCUGCCUGAUAUAUAACAAAAAUUUUAUUCUCACUUUGCUUAGAUUUGAGUUUGUUCAUUUUUAUUUGUGUUCAAUCUUACUUACCAGUAAGCACGAUGUAAUGUAUGCAGGUUAAGAAGACUAUUUUAGAAAAACAUGGUGUUUUGUCGUCUCCAUGUUUGCACAAGGAUUUUGACUUAUGGAGAUAAAAUGAUCAUGUGUACUUUACUUGGUAUGGAUUAACAUUUUUCUUUUUUGUUUGGAAGAAAAAGGUACCUGGAGACCAAAAAGUAUUGCAGCAUCUUUUUCGCAACGUUACUUACCGCCUGCUGGAAAAUGUAUUAAUCCAAAUGAAACCUCACCUCAAUCAUUGAAACCAGGUUUAGCUAUCCAAGAUCAGAGAACUUGCACAAAUCAACAAUAGGCUCAUCUCAUUUUACCAGCAAAAUUAGGCAUUGAGUCCUUGGGGUGUGUGGAGCUCGCUAAACAUGUUAGUUUGAACUGCCUAAAUCUUCGGUUUUUUGGGCUGCUAAUGACGAUUGGAAUGUUAGAUUACACGUCCACACCAGAAAACUUCAAGCUGACAAAACACUUCCUUUUAAACCCCAACCUCAUCUCGCUCACCAUUCCUUUGUUACGAGAAACUUACCGAGUCUUUUUUUGCAUCUUAUGCUCUUACUGAUUGGAAUAAAUUGGUUGUAAUUAUUGGUUAACUGUAGAAUGGAAGUUUGCGGUAAACCUGCCUAGACCUAGGAUUCACUUCCACCAGCGUCUUGCAGUAAUUUUGAGAUUUCCACUAGCGUCUUGCGAUAGGUCAUACCAUACCAUGUCAUACAAUCAUCACGA